ensembl:snRNA U6 U6 spliceosomal RNA
GGGCUCGCUUUGGCAGCACAUAUAACUGUAAUUGGAAUGAUACAGAGAAGAUUAGUAUGGCUCCUCUGCAAGGAUGACAUGCAUAUUUGUGAAUUAUUCCUUCUUUUU